AGUCGAGAAUCUUCGGCAAUGGACGAAAGUCUGACCGAGCGAUGCCGCGUGCGGGAUGAAGGCCCUCGGGUUGUAAACCGCUGUCAGUUGUUAGGAAAUUCAUGGUGGUUAUCCAUCAUGUUUGACCGAUCUUCAGAGGAAGGACGGGCUAAGUACGUGCCAGCAGCCGCGGUAAUACGUACCGUCCAAACGUUAUUCGGUAUCACUGGGCUUAAAGCGUUCGUAGGCGGCCUAGAAGGUGAGAUGUGAAAGCCCACGGCUCAACCGUGGAAUUGCGUUUCAAACCACUAGGCUUGAGGAAGACAGGGGUGAUGGGAACUUAUGGUGGAGCGGUGAAAUGCGUUGAUAUCAUAGGGAACACCGGUGGCGAAAGCGCAUCACUGGGUCUUUUCUGACGCUGAGGAACGAAAGCUAGGGUAGCGAA
rnacentral:rRNA from 1 species